rnacentral:rRNA from 1 species
GACGAACACUGGCGGCGUGCCUAAUACAUGCAAGUCGAGCGGACCGAAGGGAGCUUGCUCCUUUAGGUUAGCGGCGGACGGGUGAGUAACACGUGGGCAACCUGCCCUGCAGACUGGGAUAACUUCGGGAGACCGGAGCUAAUACCGGAUAACACCGAAAACCGCAUGGUUUCGGUUGAAAGGCGGCUUUAGCUGUCACUGCAGGAUGGGCCCGCGGCGCAUUAGCUAGUUGGUAAGGUAACGGCUUACCAAGGCGACGAUGCAUAGCCGAGUUGGGAGACUGAUCGGCCACAUUGGGACUGAGACACGGCCCAA